rnacentral:rRNA from 1 species
UACGUAGGGUGCGAGCGUUACUCGGAAUUACUGGGCGUAAAGCGUGCGCAGGCGGUUUUGUAAGUCAGAUGUGAAAUCCCCGGGCUCAACCUGGGAACUGCGUUUGAAACUACAAGGCUAGAGUGUGGCAGAGGGGGGUGGAAUUCCACGUGUAGCAGUGAAAUGCGUAGAGAUGUGGAGGAACACCGAUGGCGAAGGCAGCCCCCUGGGUUAACACUGACGCUCAGGCACGAAAGCGUGGGGAGCAAACAGG